AGGUAAGCUACUAAGAGCGAAUGGUGGAUGCCUUGACUGGUAAAGGCGAUGAAGGACGUACUAGACUGCGAUAAGCUACGGGGAGCUGUCAAGAAGCUUUGAUCCGUAGAUUUCCGAAUGGGGCAACCCAGUAUAUAGAGAUAUAUACUACCAUAAUGGAGCGAACGAGGGGAAUUGAAACAUCUUAGUACCCUCAGGAAAAGAAAUCAAUAGAGAUUAUGUCAGUAGCGGCGAGCGAAAGCGUAAGAGGGCAAACCCAGUGCUUGCACUGGGGGUUGUAGGACUGCAAUGUGCAAUAAGUAAGGUUAGUAGAACACUCUGGAAAGUGUAGCCAUAGAGGGUGAUAGUCCCGUAUACGAAAACCAAACUUUAGCUAGCAGUAUCCUGAGUAGGGCGAAACACGUGGAAUUUUGUCUGAAGCUGGGUCGACCACGAUCCAACCCUAAAUACUAAUACCAGAUCGAUAGUGCACAAGUACCGUGAGGGAAAGGUGAAAAGAACUGAGGUGAUCAGAGUGAAAUAGAACCUGAAACCAUUUGCUUACAAUCAUUCAGAGCACUAUGUAGCAAUACAGUGUGAUGGACUGCCUUUUGCAUAAUGAGCCUGCGAGUUGUGGUGUCUGGCAAGGUUAAGCACACGCGAAGCCGUAGCGAAAGCGAGUCUGAAUAGGGCGCUUAAGUCAGAUGCUGCAGACCCGAAACGAAGUGAUCUAUCCAUGAGCAAGUUGAAGCUAGUGUAAGAACUAGUGGAGGACUGAACCCAUAGGCGUUGAAAAGCCCCGGGAUGACUUGUGGAUAGGGGUGAAAGGCCAAUCAAACUUCGUGAUAGCUGGUUCUCUCCGAAAUAUAUUUAGGUAUAGCGUUGUGUCGUAGUAUAAGGGGGUAGAGCACUGAAUGGGCUAGGGCAUACACCAAUGUACCAAACCCUAUCAAACUCCGAAUACCUUAUAUGUAAUCACAGCAGUCAGGCGGCGAGUGAUAAAAUCCGUCGUCAAGAGGGAAACAACCCAGACUAUCAGCUAAGGUCCCCAAGUCUUACUUAAGUGGAAAACGAUGUGAAGUUACUUAAACAACCAGGAGGUUGGCUUAGAAGCAGCCAUCCUUUAAAGAAAGCGUAAUAGCUCACUGGUCUAGUGAUUUUGCGCGGAAAAUAUAACGGGGCUAAAGUAAGCACCGAAGCUAUAGACUUAGUUUUACUAAGUGGUAGGAGAGCGUUCUAUUUGCGUCGAAGGUAUACCGGUAAGGAGUGCUGGAGCGAAUAGAAGUGAGCAUGCAGGCAUGAGUAGCGAUAAUUAAUGUGAGAAUCAUUAACGCCGUAAACCCAAGGUUUCCUACGCGAUGCUCGUCAUCGUAGGGUUAGUCGGGUCCUAAGUCGAGUCCGAAAGGGGUAGACGAUGGCAAAUUGGUUAAUAUUCCAAUACCAACAUUAGUGUGCGAUGGAAGGACGCUUAGGGCUAAGCAAGCUAGCGGAUGGAAGUGCUAGUCUAAGGAUGUAGGAGCUUAUACAGGCAAAUCCGUAUAAGAAUACUCCGAGAUCUUAAAGGCUCUUUGAAGUCUUCGGAUGGAUAGGAGAAUUGCUGAUGCCGUCGAGCCAAGAAAAGUUUCUAAGUUUAGCUAAUGUUGCCCGUACCGUAAACCGACACAGGUGGGUGGGAUGAGUAUUCUAAGGCGCGUGGAAGAACUCUCUUUAAGGAACUCUGCAAAAUAGCACCGUAUCUUCGGUAUAAGGUGUGGUUCGCUUUGUAUUAGAAUUUACUUCGAAAGCAAAGAAACUUACAACAAAGAGUCCCUCCCGACUGUUUACCAAAAACACAGCACUCUGCUAACUCGUAAGAGGAUGUAUAGGGUGUGACGCCUGCCCGGUGCUCGAAGGUUAAUUGAUGGGGUUAGCAUUAGCGAAGCUCUUGAUCGAAGCCCGAGUAAACGGCGGCCGUAACUAUAACGGUCCUAAGGUAGCGAAAUUCCUUGUCGGUUAAAUACCGACCUGCAUGAAUGGCGUAACGAGAUGGGAGCUGUCUCAAAGAGGGAUCCAGUGAAAUUGUAGUGGAGGUGAAAAUUCCUCCUACCCGCGGCAAGACGGAAAGACCCCGUGGACCUUUACUACAGCUUGACACUGCUA
rnacentral:rRNA from 1 species